AGAAAAUGUUGUGUUGCCUAAUAUUUUAUCUGUCUCGCCAGGGAUAUAUAAUAAAGAUUCAAGCUAUGACAUCUGGGCACAUAACCAUCAAUGUUAAACUUUAGUUGCCACUUGUUUGAGACUAAGCCUGUCAGAUGAAUUAUCCUGGAUGUCUUGACAGAUAUUAUGUGACUAGAUUGUAGAUGAACAAAACAAACUCAUUAUCUGUUUAUUAUUUCCAGUCUUUAUUAACGGAAUUGGAGGAACCUUGUCCAGGGACAGCACAGACUUAUCAUAACAGAGGAGAAGUGUAAGGUCCUCUGAACGGGCUAUACCAUGGUUGAGCCACUGUGACCCCUGUGACCCACACAUACAGGCCUCCUGGAGUCACAAAGCCUGGAGCAACAGGAGAACCACUAAAGAAGAAACAGCUAGUUCCUGCCUUAACCGAUUAACCGACGUUGCAACAUUCCACCAUUGUGAUACGUUCCUGCCCUACCCUAACUAAUCAAUCAACCUUGUGAUAUCGUGCCUUGUGACCUCCCCCCACCUUGUGACUAUGCACCUUGUGACAUUCUUCUCCUGCCCGAAAAAACUGCCCCUAACUGUAACUUUCUACUACCUACCCCAAACCUAUAAAACCAGUUCCACUCCCACCACACUCUGCUGACUCCUUUCUUGGACUCAGCCCACUUGCACCCAAGUGAAUAAGCAGCUUUGUUGCUCACACUAAGCCUGCUCAGGUGGUCUCUUCACACGGAUGUGCUUAACAAAUACCAGUAGUUAGAAAUCACUGGGGACCAAUGAUUUGUUAUGGUCCCCAAUAACAAAUAUAUAUUAAACACAGAAGAAAAUUCUUACCAUGCAGAAAUCCUUCCAAUUCAAAAUGAGUCAAAAAAUUUAAAAUAGAAAUGAACAAAUAUUUACUAUAAAGUACAAAUUAUGUGAUAAGUGAGGAAUAAGCUCUGUUUUUUUUUAGACGAAGUU
rnacentral:lncRNA from 10 species